ensembl:ncRNA C43C3.7 ncRNA
CAUCAUAUUGGGUUCGUUGGGAGGUUGGCUCGCGCAAUUUAAUGGGGUUCAGUAUCACUAGGAGAAAAUGGAAAGAGUAUCGCUUGCUGUCGAAAUUAAUGGGUCGUGUUCAAUUUG